CCUACGGGUGACUGCAGUGAGGAAUAUUGGUCAAUGGACGCGAGUCUGAACCAGCCAAGUAGCGUGAAGGAUGACUGCCCUAUGGGUUGUAAACUUCUUUUAUAUGGGAAUAAAACGUUCCACGUGUGGGAUUUUGUAUGUACCUUAUGAAUAAGGAUCGGCUAACUCCGUGCCAGCAGCCGCGGUAAUACGGAGGAUCCGAGCGUUAUCCGGAUUUAUUGGGUUUAAAGGGAGCGUAGGUGGAUUGUUAAGUCAGUUGUGAAAGUUUGCGGCUCAACCGUAAAAUUGCAGUUGAAACUGGCAGUCUUGAGUACAGUAGAGGUGGGCGGAAUUCGUGGUGUAGCGGUGAAAUGCUUAGAUAUCACGAAGAACUCCGAUUGCGAAGGCAGUUCACUGGACUGCAACUGACACUGAGGCUCGAAAGUGUGGGUAUCAAACAGGAUUAGAUACCCGGGUAGUC
rnacentral:rRNA from 1 species